CUCUCUGCUGGGUUCCAAGGUAACAAGGCCUCACCCAUAUUUUCUCUGUGGGUUUCAGGCCCCUCCUUGAACAGUUCUGUUUUGCAGAGUGAGAGGAGUUGUUUGCCUUCCUGCAAUCUCUCUGUCGACUAUUCCCAUCCCCCACCAAGCGCUGCUGACACCAAUCCUACCUGCCUGGGAAGAAGCUUUCAGCUAGAAUUUGCUGAAAUCUUUUAAUGCUUUUUUGCUAGAGAAAGAAGAAAAGGUGUUGCUUCUUAUGUUCCAAAAAAAUUCCUGCUGGUAUGUAUGUGCUGAACCACAGACGGAAAUCUUGCGUUGCCUCUGGGAAGGAAAAGAGCACCUGUGCUGGUAUCUGAAGUGAGUUCAUCACUUUCCGGCCCCGUUGGCGCAAACUAGCCGAGAACAGUCCAGUGACAAGGCCUCUUUGCUCGUGUACAGCCCACCUUCGACAAAGCCAUGGCCAGGGGUCCAGAGAGAAUGGUUUUCUGAGAGCACACAGGACUGAAGAAGCCAACGCAAACUGGAAUUCCCUUCUGUCUAGGUGAAACAGGUUUGGUCCUGCCUGCUGCCCUCCUAACACUUGCUACCAGCCAAGUCCCAGACUUGGAUCCUGACAUGCCUAGAAAACUAUUGCUCUAUCUCCAAAACCAAAUUUAAAAAUAAGCUUUGAAGAAGCCUCCCCGAAGGGGGGAUACUUGCUCUUGCAUUACAGUUACCACGUGCGAGGAAGCCCAAGCCACGUGUAGGUAUUCUGGCCAACUGCCAGCCUCAAUGUCAGCCUUCAAGAUGGAUCCCAGGGCUAGUCAUCAUCUGACUGCGAAUGCACGAGAGAUCCAAAAGAACCCUGAGGGAAGUCCAGUCAACCUCA